GACGAACCGUGCGAACGUUGUUCGGAUUCACUGGGCAUAAAGGGCGCGUAGGCGGAUGGUCAAGUCGGGGGUGAAAUCUUUCAGCUUAACUGGAAAAGUGCCUCCGAUACUGAUCGUCUCGAGGGGAGGUAGGGGCAUGUGGAACUUCCGGUGGAGCGGUGAAAUGCGUAGAUAUCGGAAGGAACGCCGGUGGCGAAGCGACGUGCUGGACCUCUUCUGACGCUGGAGGCGCGAAAGCUAGGGGAGCAAACGGG
rnacentral:rRNA from 1 species